UACGUAGGGCGCAAGCGUUGUCCGGAAUUAUUGGGCGUAAAGAGCUCGUAGGCGGUUUGUCGCGUCGGAUGUGAAAGCCCGGGGCUUAACCCCGGGUCUGCAUUCGAUACGGGCAGACUAGAGUGUGGUAGGGGAGAUCGGAAUUCCUGGUGUAGCGGUGAAAUGCGCAGAUAUCAGGAGGAACACCGAUGGCGAAGGCAGGUCUCUGGGCAUUAACUGACGCUGAGGAGCGAAAGCGUGGGGAGCGAACAGG
rnacentral:rRNA from 1 species